UACGAAGGGUGCAAGCGUUACUCGGAAUUACUGGGCGUAAAGCGUGCGUAGGUGGUGAGUUAAGUCUGUCGUGAAAGCCCCCGGGCUCAACCUGGGAAUGGCGAUGGAUACUGGCUCGCUAGAGUGCGGUAGAGGAGAGUGGAAUUCCCCGGUGUAGCAGUGAAAUGCGUAGAGAUCGGGAGGAACAUCAGUUGCGAAGGCGGCUCUCUGGACCAGCACUGACACUGAGGCACGAAAGCGUGGGGAGCAAACAGG
rnacentral:rRNA from 1 species